rnacentral:lncRNA from 1 species
ACCUGGAUCACAGCUUCAGUCCCAUAAGUGAGCCUGAAAGGAAUUUGUCCUAUCGAAAUCUGAUAUGUGGUUCGAUAUGCCGUCAGUACACUUUGCAGCUCUUCAGCCUACAAAUCUUUAGCAUUAGUGAGCCUUAUCUUCAAACCAUGAAGAAUAGUUCUAUUGGUUACUUUAGCCUCACCAUUCGACUGUGGAUGUCCAACAGAAGUGAGUUAGUGAUCUAUAUGAAAC